UACGUAGGGGGCAAGCGUUGUCCGGAUUUAUUGGGCGUAAAGAGCGUGUAGGCGGCCAGGUAGGUCCGUUUGUGAAAACUCGAGGCUCAACCUCGAGACGUCGGCGGAAACCCUCUGGCUAGAGUCCGGAAGAGGAGAGUGGAAUUCCUGGUGUAGCGGUGAAAUGCGCAGAUAUCAGGAAGAACACCCGUGGCGAAGGCGGCUCUCUGGGACGGUACUGACGCUGAGACGCGAA
rnacentral:rRNA from 1 species